rnacentral:snoRNA from 1 species
AAACCAUGAUGAGGGCACCGUCUCAAUAGAUCCUUGUAUCUCUCCCACGCAUCAUAUAACGUCUCUAAAUCGAUCUGGGUUC